UGUAUUUGUAUUUCUCUCAAGAUUUAGCUACACCUCUGAAAUAUCUGUACACACGUUGUUGUAAUUAAUGAGAACAUAGCAACGCUACUGGUUGGGUUUACAUUAUGUGAAGUUGAAUUUUAGGGUUUACAAGUGAAGUAUAUAGGGUUUACAUUAUGUGAAGUUGAAUUUUAGGGUUUACAAGUGAAGAUUAUGUACUGGAAACAAUGUCUAUUUGUUGUUUUCGUAGGUUUGGUCCACAUUUCUACCAGCCUAUCCUGUCAUUGCUGGUAUAGGAGAAGAUAAUAAGACCUUUAGCUGCACAAUGGAUUCAAUUGGUGCCAAAGAAUUGGAAGUGUGGGCCUUACUAUACACGAAGAACUUACUGGACAGUGAUCUUUUGAGCAAUAAUUUUUCAGGACAUGUGCCAUCUUCUGUUGCUGAUCUAGUGCAUCCGCUUACCUUUCUUUAUGUUCGCAGGUUCUUUGAAUGAUGCGUUUUCUAAUCGAAAGGGUGGAGAAUAAAGCAGCGCAAGUUUUGUAAGUUUCUACAUAGGAAGUUAGUAAGUUUCUACGUAUUCCAUUAGAAAUUUGGAACUUAGUUCCUAUAUAUUCCCUUAGAAUUUGAUACUUAACAAAAAAAUUGGUACUUACAAGAAUUUAUGUACUUAACAAAAGAAAAAUUCUAACUAGAAGAAUUUUUGUUAUUUUUUGGCAUGUAUUUGGUUGAAUAUGUGAUGUGAAUUAAUUGUUGAAUGUGAUAUGAAUUGAUUGUUGAAUUUUGAUGAUGUAUGUCAUGAAAGGUGGAUGCAGGUUAUAAAAAAUACGUCUUAUUUCCUGCAAAAAAUUUACUGCGACUCAACGUUGAAAAAUCGUACCGGAUGAAACUUCUUAUGACCCUGUAGUUGCGAAAAUUUCGUAACGGCUCUCAGCUAUUACCACAUGCCAAAUCGUAACGUCUCCCUUUUGUUCUAACGCCGUUACAACACUAAAUUUAUAACGACUCUAUUGACGUUACAAAAAAUUAUAAUACGUCCUUUUAAACAGGCAGUGGUCGUCACAACCCUGAUUCGUAACGCCUUCGCUCUGUUUUAAUCCCAGAUUUGGUGCAGUGAAGGAGAAUUAAUGGGAUGCCAGAUGGAUUUUGAUACAACUUCUUCUCUGGAGGAUGAGACAAAGGUAUGUUCUUUGGAAUUUCAAUUGAAGAGACAUCGUAAUCUUAUUGAUGUGAUAAUUCAGGGAUAUACAAUCAGUGAUUAACAAGCCGAUACGGGGAAUGAUCAAGAUAUCCUUUGGAACAUCAUUUUUCUCACUUGUAGAAUUAAAACCCUUGUUAGUCUUUUCCAUGUUAUUUGGUUUUAUGUAAUUUCAAAAAGGGAUAUUUUUACUUUUGGUCCCACAAAAAUGACCAGU